GUUUUUCUCCAAAAACAUAAUUUCUUUACGACUGAAGAAAAAAAGACAUGAACAUCUUGGAUGACAAUGGGAGUUUACUCCAGUUCCAGAUUGGAUCCAGCCUCACUUGUGAAGACUUCAGAUGAUGACAACACUCAACAAGACUUCAGAUGAUGGCAACUGGACAUACAAAACUGACAAAUAUUAUUCUUAUAUUGCCUUUACGGCAACACUCUGCAGGAUGACGAAAAAGAAAUGACAAAAUGGCAAAAACACACUUUUUGGAUCAUCAAAAUGCUGAGUUUUGCUGACAAAUAAACUGGGUAUCUCUGAGAAAGAUUAAACAUUGUUCUUUUACAUGUAUUUCCAACAUUGUAACAAUACAAAUUGGAUUGAAGAUUGUUAAACUUAGCCUUUAAUAAUCUUGAAGGAUAGUGUGU